GUUUCACCGCAGGUUUGAAUCUGUUUCCACCCUUCCUCCGCAUGCUGUUAGUUGUGAGUCUUGACUAAUGUCACAUCUUGUGUUCAAAUAUCAGUGAAAACAAAACGGUUAAUCUUCCAACAUAAAAAACGAAACUCCAAGGUGAACACUUGUAGUGCUGAUUUGCCAAUCGGGUGCGAUCAUAGUAUUAGUAUAAACAGAAUACAAAAAAUCGAGAAGUGUCACUCGACCCAAUUGUGUAAC
rnacentral:lncRNA from 1 species